rnacentral:rRNA from 1 species
GAUGAACGCUAGCGGCAGGCUUAACACAUGCAAGUCGAGGGGUAUAGUUCUUCGGAACUAGAGACCGGCGCACGGGUGCGUAACGCGUAUGCAAUCUACCUUUUGCAGAGGGAUAGCCCAGAGAAAUUUGGAUUAAUACCUCAUGGUAUGUGAGAAUGGCAUCAUUUUCACAUUAAAGUCACAACGGCAAAAGAAGAGCAUGCGUCCCAUUAGCUUGUUGGUAAGGUAACGGCUUACCAAGGCAACGAUGGGUAGGGGUCCUGAGAGGGAGAUCCCCCACACUGGUACUGAGACACGGACCAGACUCCUACGGGAGGCAGCAGUGAGGAAUAUUGGACAAUGGGCGCAAGCCUGAUCCAGCCAUGCCGCGUGCAGGAUGACGGUCCUAUGGAUUGUAAACUGCUUUUGUACAGGAAGAAACACUGGUUCGUGAACCAGCUUGACGGUACUGUAAGAAUAAGGAUCGGCUAACUCCGUGCCAGCCGCCGCGGUAACAC